rnacentral:rRNA from 1 species
AAUCAACGCUGGCGGCGUGCCUCAGACAUGCAAGUCGAACGAUUAAAGCUCUCUUCGGAGAGUGCAUAGAGUGGCGCACGGGUGAGUAACACGUAAGUAAUCUACCUUCGAGUGGGGAAUAACGUCCGGAAACGGACGCUAAUACCGCAUAACGCAGCGGCAUCGCAAGAUGACAGUUGUUAAAGAUUUAUCGCUUGAAGAGGAGCUUGCGGCAGAUUAGCUUGUUGGUAAGGUAACGGCUUACCAAGGCUACGACCUGUAACCGGUCUAAGAGGACGGUCGGUCACACUGACACUGAAUAA